AGGACGAACGCUGGCGGCGUGCUUAACACAUGCAAGUCGAGCGGAAAGGCCCUUCGGGGUACUCGAGCGGCGAACGGGUGAGUAACACGUGAGUAAUCUGCCCCUAGCUCUGGGAUAGCUCCGGGAAACCGGGAUUAAUACUGGAUACGACCACCUUAGACAUCUUUUGUGGUGGAAAGAAUUUCGGCUAGGGAUGAGCUCGCGGCCUAUCAGCUUGUUGGUGGGUAACGGCCUACCAAGGCGACGACGGGUAG
rnacentral:rRNA from 1 species